UACAGAGGGGGCAAGCGUUGUUCGGAAUUACUGGGCGUAAAGGGCGCGUAGGCGGCCUUCUAAGUCGAACGUGAAAUCCCCGGGCUCAACCCGGGAACUGCGUCCGAUACUGGAAGGCUUGAAUCCGGGAGAGGGAUGCGGAAUUCCAGGUGUAGCGGUGAAAUGCGUAGAUAUCUGGAGGAACACCGGUGGCGAAGGCGGCAUCCUGGACCGGCAUUGACGCUGAGGCGCGAAAGCCAGGGAG
rnacentral:rRNA from 1 species